GGCGCCAUCGUCUAGCUGGUAGACAAUACGAUGUGGAUCUUGUAGGAGCUUGGGAUUUAGGGUCCCGGGCCCGGGAGCCACAGACGUGUAGACGACGGUUCGAUUCCGUCUGGCGCCA